rnacentral:rRNA from 1 species
GACGAACGCUGGCGGCGUGCUUAACACAUGCAAGUCGAACGGAAAGGCCUCUUUCGGGGGGUACUCGAGUGGCGAACGGGUGAGUAACACGUGAGUAACCUGCCCUUGACUUUGGGAUAACUUCAGUAAACUGGGGCUAAUACCGGGUAGGAGCUCCUGCUGCAUGGUGGGGGUUGGAAAGUUUCGGCGGUUGGGGAUGGACUCGCGGCUUAUCAGCUUGUUGGUGGGGUAGUGGCUUACCAAGGCUUUGACGGGUAGCCGGCCUGAGAGGGUGACCGGCCACAUUGGGACUGAGAUACGGCCCAGACUCCUACGGGAGGCAGCAGUGGGGAAUAUUGCACAAUGGGUGGAAGCCUGAUGCAGCAACGCCGUGUGCGGGAUGACGGCCUUCGGGUUGUAAACCGCUUUCGCUCAUGACGAAGCUUUGUGUGACGGUAGUGGGUAAAGAAGCACCGGCUAACUACGUG